GAGAUGGGAUGCGGGGGGCUUGGAGGGGAAGCUGGUACAAGAGUCCAGAGGAGAGACAAUGGGUUCCAGUGGCAGAGGGGCUGAAGGAGAGAAGGCCCGAUAGCAUGGGAGAGGCUGUGGACGCAACUGCUGAGGAAGGGGAAGCAGAAGAAGGUGCUGAAUGACGUGAGUCCGGGAGGCUUCCUGAAGAAGCAUCAGGGCAGAUCUGGGAGAAGACGCUUUGAGGAAUAUCAAGUGCCGUGGAGUUAUUUGGAGAAGCGAGAGGGUCUUCAGAGCCAGCCGGCCCGAGAGUGUCCACCUGUGGAACCGGAGCUGGAGCCAGAGGCAGUCAAACCAGGAGCUCAUCCAUCAGCUGAGCCCAGGCUGGAGCUGGGAAAGAAGACCACAGGGUCAUCUCCACCAGGAUGUCCCCUACCUACAUACCUCAAAUUCAACAUGUCCCAACUAAAUCCAGCAGCCGCCAUCCUCUUGAGCCUGCACUCCUUCCAGUGUCUCUUCUCUCAAUGGAUGGCAUCACUACAUCCCCACCAGAAUCCUGGAGGCAUCCUCCACACCUUUCUCCCCUGAUGCCUAUUACAACCAAUCAACCACCAAGUCCUUCCCACCCUACUUCCAACACAGGCUGAAUUAAUCCACUUUGCUCCAUGGUUUCCACCUUGGUCUCGGCAUCACCAUCUGUUGCCUGUGGUUGUCUCCUCCGCUCUUCUUGCUUCCACUCUGCCCCCCACCACCAGCCUGUUUACCCAUAAGGUAGUCAGAAGGAGUGUUUGCCAAGACAAAUCAGAUCACAUCACUGCCAUGCUCAGAAAUCCCAGGAGUCAACAAUAAAAUUCAAGAGCCUGUAGGAUCUCACCUUGCUCUCCUCCUUCCCUGCCAUGUUGAGUGUGCCAGGCCAUCUUCUGCUCCUGAGCCUUGCCCAGACCCAAGCACUUGUCCUUUCACCCUUCACCUGGCUAACUCCUCCUCAACCUCUGGAUCUCAGGUUAUACAUCAAUCUAUAUGUGUCCUUUAGGAUGUAACUCAGGUGUCACCUCUUCCCUGGGAGUCUUCCUGAAUUUCUCUCCACCCCCCCCACCCCAGUCUAGGUCAGAUGCCCCUCCUGUGGGCUCUGCUCCCCCCUCUACCACUGUCCUCCAUUGCCCUGUGGAUCUCUGUAUCAUAUCAUUCAUCCUGGAUUGUACAUACUUGGGUAUUUAUUUGUUUCUUCCACUAGACCAGGGGUUGGUGAACUACAGUCCACAGGCCAAGUCUGGCCUACUGCCUGGUUUUGUAAAUAAAGUUUUAUUGGAGCACAGUCAUGGCUAUUCCCUUACAUAGUGUCUAAGGCUGCUUUCACACCACAGAGGCAGAGUUGACUGCAAAGCCCCAAAUAAAUACUAUGUGGCCCUUACGGAAAAGGUUCCUGACCCCUGCUCGAGACCAUGUGCCCCCACGAGGGCAAGGACAGCGUCUGUCUGGUUCACUGCUGGGCCCUCAGCGCCCAGCACAAUGGCCACUGGUUGGCAGGUGGUUGAGAAAUGUUUGUCAAAUCGCGUUCGAAGCAUAUAUGGUCACAGAGGAAGUCUGAGGCCCCUCUAGGGUCCCUGGAUCCCCAAGUAGGCUGUGACUUUUGGUUCCUAGUUCUCUGUCCCCAGGGGAAAAGAAUGAGGUCAGAUUCCAAGGGAUCAAAGAGGCUGUGUCACCAUUGACCUCCUGAGGGGCUCAGGGGAAGACAGCAGGACCCUGGGGCUGCUCUGAAGGAGGCUCCACCCUUGUAGAGGUUGUUUGCUUCCACCUCAAAGCUGUCCCUGACGCUAAAGCAGUCGUUCUCGAUCAAGGGCUACUUUGUUCCGCAGGGGAUAAUUUCCAAUGCCUUGAGACAUUCUUGCUUGUCACAUAUGAGGGACUGGGGAGGGAGGUUAACUGCUAGUGGCACCUAGUAAGUAGAGACCAGGGAUUCUGCCAAGCAUCCCACAAGUGCACAGGACAGCCCCACACAACA